AUUGAACGCUGGCGGAAUGCUUUACACAUGCAAGUCGAACGGCAGCACGGACUUCGGUCUGGUGGCGAGUGGCGAACGGGUGAGUAAUGUAUCGGAACGUGCCCAGUCGUGGGGGAUAACGUAGUGAAAAUUACGCUAAUACCGCAUACGAUCUAUGGAUGAAAGCGGGGGAUCGCAAGACCUCGCGCGAUUGGAGCGGCCGAUAUCAGAUUAGGUAGUUGGUGGGGUAAAGGCCCACCAAGCCAACGAUCUGUAGCUGGUCUGAGAGGACGGCCAGCCACACUGGAACUGAGACACGGUCCAGACUCCUACGGGAGGCAGCAGUGGGGAAUUUCGGACAAUGGGCGAAAGCCUGAUCCAGCCAUUCCGCGUGCAGGAUGAAGGCCCUCGGGUUGUAAACUGCUUUUGUACAGAACGAAAAGGUUUCUACUAAUACUAGGAGCUCAUGACGGUACUGUAAGAAUAAGCACCGGCUAACUACGUGCCAGCAGCCGCCGUAA
rnacentral:rRNA from 1 species